rnacentral:rRNA from 1 species
CGGUAAUACCAGCUCUCCGAGUGGUGUGGACGUUUAUUGGGCCUAAAGCAUCCGUAGCUGGCUGAACAAGUCCCCUGUUAAACCCACCGAUUUAAUCGUUGGUCUGCGGGGGAUACUGCUCGGCUAGGGGACGAGAGAGGCAGACGGUAUUCCCGGGGUAGGGGUGAAAUCCUAUAAUCCCGGGAAGACCACCAGUGGCGAAGGCUGUCGGCUAGAACGCG